AGGACGAACGCUGGCGGCGUGCCUAACACAUGCAAGUCGAGCGAGAGUUUCGCAGCGGAAUCCUUCGGGAGGAAGCAGUGAAAGGAAAGCGGCGGACGGGUGAGUAACGCGUGAGUAACCUGCCUUCAGGAGGGGGAUAACAUUCCGAAAGGGGUGCUAAUACCGCAUGACAUUGUUUUUCUGCAUGGAAGAACAAUCAAAGAUUUAUCGCCUGAAGAUGGACUCGCGUCUGAUUAGAUAGUUGGUGGGGUAAAGGCCUACCAAGUCGACGAUCAGUAGCCGAACUGAGAGGUUGAUCGGCCACAUUGGGACUGAGACACGGCCCAGACUCCUACGGGAGGCAGCAGUGGGGGAUAUUGCGCAAUGGGGGGAACCCUGACGCAGCAACGCCGCGUGAAGGAAGAAGGUUUUCGGAUCGUAAACUUCUUUAAGUUGGGAAGAUAAUGACGGUACCAACAGAAUAAGCCACGGCUAACUACGUG
rnacentral:rRNA from 1 species